GCCCAGUCAAGUCGGAUCUAAUCACAGCAACUGGUGUGGUCUGAUUGGCCUAUAAGCAAAAGAGGAGGAGGAGGUGUUGUGUGCCGUUGCAAAAGGGCCUGGUGGACUUGAUGGAGGGGAGGGGAGGGGAGGGGGUGGGCUUAUAGAAAAAAGGGCCUGUUGGGCCUUUGAGGUGAAGAAGGGAUGGAGAGGUGGUGGAUCGGGCUUGUGUAGGGGUGAGGCACGUGGACUAGAGCCUGUGAAACGGACAGGAUGGAGUGGGGAAAAAGGCGGGCCUGAUGAAAGGAUCAGUCUGUGAGAAGGGAGGGUGAGUUGUGGUGUGAAAAGGGGAGAAAGAGGAAGUGGAGGCGAUUGGGGGUGAGGGGCAGUGGGUUCGGGCGGGCGGCGACGGUGGUGAUGGAUGAGGUGGAUGCGACUAGGCGGCAAUGGGGUUCGGGCGGCGGGCGGCAGUGGGGCAGCACGGGUGGAGAUCAGGAAGAGGACACAGGCAGAGGCGAAGGGUGGAGCGCGACGGAAGGGAAAGAGGCGGGCGGUGGUAAUGGAGAGGAGACGGAGGCGACGAAAGAAGGAGGGGCGGCGGUGGAGUCCGGCGGCUGCGACCUGCCUUUGCGCUCGACACCGAGGAUGAGGGGACUCGGCGAGCUAGGCGGCGUUGGCGAUGGCACGGAAGCGGCGACGAGUGGGGGCGAAGUGCGGUGGAAGGGCGGCUUAAGAGAGGUGGUGGGGCUCGACGGCGGUGGGAGAGGGGAGUCGGAAAGCGGCAACAGCGAUGCAGCGCGGGUGGAGGUGGAGCGGCACGGGCGGCAGUGGCGACGGUGCUAGGGCGAUCAGAGAUGAACAGACAUAUUCCGACAUUGAUAGAGCUGCAUGAGCAUCUCAGGCAGUUCCUCAUACAUCAGGCUCUAAGAGUUAUGCGAGGCGUGGAGAUGAAUUCAUAAGUUUUUUUGAAACUCUUCUAUCAUAUAUUAAUUCCUAUAGCUUGCCAAUGUACUUUUUAUUGUAGAUGGAAGAGCAUGAGAGGGAGCCUGGUGAGGUAGAGUUCUACCAGAUGACUCACACUCACCGAGAUGGCAGCUUUGUCCGAGAGGAGUUGAGAGAUAUAUUUGACAGGGAUACAUCCCUUAUUUCAAAGCGUGUUGGAGUCAUCAUCAUCCGGCAAGACCAGCCGUGUCAAAGCUCAGGUGUUCGCCAAAUUGAUGGGCUCGGAGCGUUAUGGUCGACUGAGGGGUUAUAGCGUUGAAGUUACCCCCACUCAAUUGUCUGCAGUGAACAAAUAUACCCAAAAUGUCAGACAAAGUAGAAACACUACAGAGGUUUAUAGUCUGAAGGCAGCGAUGGAGAAGAUGAGGUAGAGCUAUUAGACAGAGAUGGAGGAGAUAAGGUAGAGCCAUCAAAUAGAGAUACAAUCUUUGAGGGCUCAGCUUGACCAGAUUGCAUCUAUGUUGCCUAGGUUCAUGAUACUUUCUUUACUCGUAGAGAUAAUGAUGAUGGUAAUACCAUCGACCCCUAAUAGCUCUUAGACUAUUUAUUUAGAAGUUUUUUAUAUAUUUUUUUAUAUUUUUCGAAGCACAUUGUAAAUGUAAAUUGAUCAUAUAAAUGUAAUCAAAUUUGACAAUAUGAAUAUUUCAAACGAUAUGUUUGAUUGUGACA